AAACGCUUAGCUUAUUGACAAAGCAUUUACUUUGAAAGUAAAAGAAAGAUUAAAAUUUAGUGUUUU
rnacentral:tRNA from 2 species